UACGAAGGGGGCUAGCGUUGUUCGGAAUUACUGGGCGUAAAGGGCUCGUAGGCGGCCAACUAAGUCGGAUGUGAAAUCCCCAGGCUUAACCUGGGAACUGCAUCCGAUACUGGAUGGCUUGAAUCCGGGAGAGGGAUGCAGAAUUCCAGGUGUAGCGGUGAAAUGCGUAGAUAUCUGGAGGAAUACCGGUGGCGAAGGCGGCAUCCUGGACCGGCAUUGACGCUGAGGAGCGAAAGCUAGGGGAGCAAACGGG
rnacentral:rRNA from 1 species